AAAAAGGAAGAGGAGGAGAAAAAGAGGGAGGAGAAAGAAGAAGGAAUGGGUGGAGGAGGAGGAAAAUGAGAAGGAGCAACUGCUUAAAUAAAUCAUGAUACCUUAAUAUAAUGGUAUACAAUGAUGAAUUCAGACCAACAGGGACAUUUGGUUCAUUCUUGGGCAAUUUACAGAACUAUCCUGAGUGUUGACAGAUUAAAUGACUCAUCCAAGUCCCUACAUGAGAUUCCAUUGGUACGAGCCAUCAUGGGUGAAGAAACUCCCUCAUUCUAAGCAGAUAAGCAACUCUUCUGCAAUUUAUAUAGUUAAGACUGUUGCCUGAGUCUCUAAGAAGUCAAGCAUCUGAUUUCAAAAAAGCCUGAAAAAACUUCCAUGAACGGAUGCUAAGCAAAGUAUUUAGAGUACUUAGGAAGAAAACUUUGGAACUAUUCAACUUCCUCAAAGCCAAAUUAGAGGAUUUCCCUGAGGAAUGUAUCUACCUUGGUCGCUUGUUAUUUUUAUGAAUGAUUUAUGGAAGGCUAAGGAGUCUAGAGUCGAAAGUUAAACAAACAAAACUUGAUGCCUUCUUAGACUAUCAACAACAUCAAUAAACACUUAUUAAAUGUAUUUGUGUGUGGCUUGCUGAUUAGCACUAUGCAUUAAAAAAAAAAGGUAAAUGAUAAUCUCUGCCCUCAAGGAUCUUCCAACUUAAAGACUACAUUAAGGGAAGCUGUAUCUGGAAAAUCAGGAGUAAAAAUCCUGUAGUACUCUCAGGUGAGCUAAGUUUUUAUAGUAUUGUGUUUUAUGAUGUUUAGGUUUAAGAAUGUCAUUGAUAAGUCAGACAGCAUAUUAGGGAUGGGAAGAAGCCUGCAUUGGUAAAGGACCUUUUAAUGUCAUUUGAGAACUGGCUUAAGGAACUGAGCAUGUUUGAUCUAGAAAAGAAAAUGAACUGAGGGAGCAGACAGAGAAGGGCAUGAUAGUUGUUUUUAGUGAAUUUGAAGCGCUGUCAGAAGAAAGAGUAAAGAGCAGAAUUAGAACUAAUGGGUAAAAAUUUUUAAAAGGCCACUUUAGUCUUAAGGAAAAACUCCCCAAUAGUUAGCACUUGCUUUCCCUUCCAUAAAGGUCUUCAAGGAGAUAAUGGACCAUCACUUGUCAGGUUCUGUGUUGAAGGAAAAGGAUUUUUGUUUCAUUAUGUAUAAAGUCAGUCAAAAUCGAGCUCCA